rnacentral:rRNA from 1 species
GAUCUUGGGUCGGGGGGAGCGGUCCGCCCCUCGUGGGUGUGCACUGGUCCACCCGGCCUUUCUGCCGGGGACGCGCCUCCUGGCCUUCGCUGGUCGGGACGCGGAGUCGGCGAUGUUACUUUGAAAAAAUUAGAGUGCUCAAAGCAAGCCUAUGCUCUGAAUACAUUAGCAUGGAAUAACGUGAUAGGACUCUGGUCCUGUUGUGUUGGUCUUCGGGACCGGAGUAAUGAUUAAUAGGGACAGUUGGGGGCAUUCGUAUUUCAUUGUCAGAGGUGAAAUUCUUGGAUUUAUGAAAGACGAACUUCUGCGAAAGCAUU